AGUGAGCCAAGAGCAGUGCCCAGGGAUGCUGAAGGCCAGCUCUGGGCUUGUGAGGACUCAGAUGUUCAGAAUUGCUUCCCACCUUUUAAUGAGAUGAUGUCUCUCUCUGAACCUUGAGCCACUGAUGGCCUAGAUUGCCUGGCUGAUGAGCUGCAGGCGUCCUCCAGUGCACUCCACUCGACUCCAGCACUGAGGUUGCAGACAUCCACAUCCACACAGAGACCCUCAGACUUGCAGAGUGAGCACGUCACUUGACUGAGCCAUCUCCCCAGGUGCCUGUUUUUGAAUUUUGAGACAGAAUUUUAUAGCUCUCUGUGACCUCAAACUCUAAAGACUCCUGCCUCAGCAUCUCAAGUGCUGGGGUUAUGGGUAUGCUCUACCAUGUUCUGCCAAGCUUGCUCUUUUUAUCAGAAAGGAAAUAAAAAACAGUUAGGAGUCUUAGCUGCCAGUCUGUGGGGAUGUGGCUCAGUUGUGGAGCUCCUGCCUAGCAUCCACUGGGCCUUAGCUUUCAUCUUCAGUGCUACAGAAAUAAAACAGCCCAAGCCAAGUCAAAAACCAGUGCCAGCCUGAUGCAUUCUUCCUACGUACGAGAAUGGACUGAAGGAGCCCUGACACAGACUUCCCCAUAGACUAUAUUCCCGAAGAAUGGCCACCUUACCCGCUCUUCUUAUGAUGUGACUUGAUUCUCCGAUCAAAAUCUAUAUAUUUUUUUCCUCCUUAAAUCUGAGGGCCAGUAAAAUGAUGCUACCAAGUUUCUGAUGUAGGGCCAUCAGAAUGCUCUGGCAAGCUCUCCAUCAAGGUUCAGACCCACUGUCAGCCAUCCCCACCCCUCACUUGACCUGCCAAUGCCCCCCUGAGACAUCUAGCCGAUGCCACGUAGACUAGAGUAGGUCUCGGGGACUGAAGGUAGAGAAGUAGAAAGGUGAUUAAAAAGAAUGGAGUCAGUGGUGGCAGGACACACAACUGCCAGAAUGUGGCUUUGGAGGAGCCCACCGACAACACCAGUGAACAGGGAGGCAGUGGGCAUGCUGGGCUGAUGGACCACUGGGGCAUUCUCAUCCCAGAAGUUAAUUAUAACAGUCUUGAACUCAGUCCUACAAGUCAGCGCUCUUUGGCAUUAAUGCUUUAGUGAAUUGAUAAAUACUUUCAUUUAGAAAAAUGUCAGUGGUCCUGAUUUCUCCCAUAGGACAGUGUGCUUCUUGGUCUAGGGGUUUGAGAGAAGACAAGCCAGCUGUAAUCAUGGUGAGGGUGUGGGGGGGGGAAGGGGGGGCGGCAGGGAGGAGGUAGGAACUACCUAUCGUGGUUUUCCUGGGAGGAUAAAGUAUGUCCAGGGUAUCUGUGUGAGUGACUCCCAUAGCAAAGCUCUGGUGAUGGUCACACCACUAACCUGUUUGUAGCUCUUCUCUUUUUUCAGUGGCCCAGAAAGCUGUGGCAGAGCUGUGAGCUGAGCCAAUUGCUCAGCCUGUCUCCCUUGGACAGCCUAUGCCCUGCACACAGCUGGGCUAUCUGAGUGGAACAAGCUGGCCUGGACAGAAAUGCCAAGCUGGACUCAUCAGAGAGUCUAGGGCCUGGAGUUAGAGAAAGGGCAUGCACCAUGUGGCUAGUCUGGGGUUAAAGCUUAAAAGCUUGAUCCCCAACACCAUUUCUGAGACAGGAUCUCGUGGAGCCAAGGCUGGCCUUGAACUUCCGGCAUCCCAGAGGAUGACCUUGGACUGAUUUUCCUGCCUUCACCUCUCAGUGUACUGGGCUUACAGGGACUGCUGACAUGCUUGGUUUAAGUGGAGCAGGGGAUGGAGCUCGGGGCUCCAAGUAUGCUAGACCAGCUCUAGCCCCUGUCUUGUUUCUUGUGUAACCUUUCCUGUCUGACUUCUCCGUACUUGAAACAUGACCUAGAAAAGGCAGGCUUUCCACCUUCCAUAACAUUACCGCCCACCUUUCCUGCCACUUACAGCAAAGAUCCCAAACUUGAAACAGUCAUUUCAAAGAUUUACCC
rnacentral:lncRNA from 1 species